GAUGAACGCUGGCGGCGUGCCUAAUACAUGCAAGUCGAGCGAACGGACGAGAAGCUUGCUUCUCUGAUGUUAGCGGCGGACGGGUGAGUAACACGUGGAUAACCUAUCUAUAAGACUGGGAUAACUUCGGGAAACCGGAGCUAAUACCGGAUAAUAUUUUGAACCGCAUGGUUCAAAAGUGAAAGACGGUCUUGCUAUCACUUAUAGAUGGAUCCGCGCUGCAUUAGCUAGUUGGUAAGGUAACGGCUUACCAAGGCAACGAUGCAUAGCCGACCUGAGAGGGUGAUCGGCCACACUGGAACUGAGACACGGUCCAGACUCCUACGGGAGGCAGCAGUAGGGAAUCUUCCGCAAUGGGCGAAAGCCUGACGGAGCAACGCCGCGUGAGUGAUGAAGGUCUUCGGAUCGUAAAACUCUGUUAUUAGGGAAGAACAUAUGUGUAAGUAACUGUGCACAUCUUGACGGUACCUAAUCAGAAAGCCACGGCUAACUACGUG
rnacentral:rRNA from 1 species